GAUGAACGCUGGCGGCGUGCCUAAUACAUGCAAGUCGAGCGAACGGACGAGAAGCUUGCUUCUCUGAUGUUAGCGGCGGACGGGUGAGUAACACGUGGAUAACCUACCUAUAAGACUGGGAUAACUUCGGGAAACCGGAGCUAAUACCGUAUGAUAUUUUGAACCGCAUGGUUCAAAAGUGAAAGACGGUCUUGCUGUCACUUAUAGAUGGAUCCGCGCUGCAUUAGCUAGUUGGUAAGGUAACGGCUUACCAAGGCAACGAUGCAUGGCCGACCUGAGAGGGUGAUCGGCCACACUGGAACUGAGACACGGUCCAGACUCCUACGGGAGGCAGCAGUAGGGAAUCUUCCGCAAUGGGCGAAAGCCUGACGGAGCAACGCCGCGUGAGUGAUGAAGGUCUUCGGAUCGUAAAACUCUGUUAUUAGGGAAGAACAUAUGUGUAAGUAACUGUGCACAUCUUGACGGUACCUAAUCAGAAAGCCACGGCUAACUACGUG
rnacentral:rRNA from 1 species